rnacentral:sRNA from 1 species
AGCAGCCGCGGUAAUUCCAGCUCCAAUAGCGUAUAUUAAAGUUGUUGCAGUUAAAAAGCUCGUAGUUGAAUUUCGGGAUCAAUAUUUCGGUCAUGCCGUUGGUAUGCACUGUUAUCAUUGAUUUUCUCACCUUUCUAAAGAACCGUAAUGCCAUUAAUUUGGUGUUACGGGGAAUUAGGACUGUUACUUUGAAAAAUUGAGUGUUUAAAGCAAGCUAACGCUUGAAUACAUUAGCAUGGAAUAAUGAAAUAGGACGUUCGAUCCUAUUUUGUUGGUUUCUAGGAUUGACGUAAUGAUUAAUAGGGAUAGUUGGGGGCAUUAGUAUUCAAUUGUCAGAGGUGAAAUUCUUGGAUUUAUUGAAGACUAACUA